rnacentral:rRNA from 1 species
GACGAACGCUGGCGGCGUGCUUAACACAUGCAAGUCGAACGGAAAGGCCCUGCUUUUGUGGGGUGCUCGAGUGGCGAACGGGUGAGUAACACGUGAGUAACCUGCCCUUGACUUUGGGAUAACUUCAGGAAACUGGGGCUAAUACCGGAUAGGAGCUCCUGCUGCAUGGUGGGGGUUGGAAAGUUUCGGCGGUUGGGGAUGGACUCGCGGCUUAUCAGCUUGUUGGUGGGGUAGUGGCUGACCAAGGCUUUGACGGGUAGCCGGCCUGAGAGGGUGAACAGCGACAUUAGGACUGAGAGACGGCGCAGACUCCAACAGGAGGCAGCGGUGGGGAGUAUUACACAGUGAGCGGAAGCCUGAGACAGCGACGUCGCGUGCGGGAUGACGGCCUUCGGGGUAAGAACCGCUUUCGCCUGUGACGAAGCGGGAGUGACGGUAAUGAGUAAAGAAGCACCGGCUAACUACGUG